rnacentral:rRNA from 1 species
AUGGCUGGCUGGCCACAGCCACGGCCGGUGGCCGGCGAACAUCCACCGCCGCACCAGCCUCCCGCCGUCGGCCUCCAGUCACCGCUGCACCGCCGCCGGCCUAGACCCACAGCCGCACCGCCAUGCCCGCGGCCCCCUCCUCCGCGCCGCCGCCCGUGGCGGCAUGCCUGGCCGAGCCCAGUGGCGCCACGCGCCUGUGGCUGCGCCCCUGGACGCGCCCGUGGCUUGCUGCUGCUGCUCGCCAUCGCUCUCGCUUGCCGUCCGCAGCUGUUGCUUGCUUCCGCCACCGCUGCUGCUUGCCGUUGCUCUCGCUUGCCAUCGCCAACAGAGUCGCUGACGAGCUGCACCGGCUGGACCUGCACGGAGGAGCGGGAGGCGGGCGACGCAACUCGUUCCGCAGGCGGGACUCGCGCUCCUGCAGCUCCUCGUCGAGGCGCGCCUGCUCGGCGGCGUCCGGCACCGUGGCCACGCGCGCCCGCUGCACCUGCACGGAGGAGCGGGAGGCUCGUCGGCGGACGGGAUGCUUGCUUAUCUAGGGACGACCACCCGCCGCCGGGCCUCGACAAUGACGUGGACUCGCCGCAGCAGCAGCCGUUCCCGUCCGCCGGCGGCAAGCGGCUGGGGAAGGAGGAGGCCGGCGACGAGGAGGAGAAGGAGGCGGAGGACCCGAUUGCUUUUUUUAAGAAAAACUAG